UCUCAUGGUUUUCUCCUACGUUGUUCUGCAGUUGUUCUGCAUACCGCAUUUUCCCCAAGACCCAGAAAUAUGGGUUAUCUGAGCAAAGCUUCCAAAACCCUAAGGCAAUCGAAUUACCUAUCGUUGUUGUGCAAUUCCAAUUUCAAUUUCAAUCCAUUAACGAACAGAAUAACCCAUGAACGUUUUUCUGUGACGCGUGCACUGUUGUGUUCCCAGACACGCCAAAACAGCACCACGAGAGAGAAAAGCACCAUAGAUUUGAGCCAAUAUCCAAAAGAGCUCGUUAGAAACUUCUCAAUCAUUGCACACGUUGAUCAUGGCAAGUCCACACUCGCUGAUCGGCUUCUAGAACUCACUGGAACCAUUAAGAAAGGCCACGGCCAACCCCAGUAUCUUGAUAAACUGCAGGUGGAGAGAGAAAGAGGAAUCACAGUUAAAGCCCAGACAGCAACAAUGUUUUAUAAGCACGGUGUAAAUGGUGAUGAUUGCAGUGAUGGAAAGGAGUCACCUAAGUUCUUGCUGAAUCUUAUUGACACUCCUGGACAUGUUGACUUUAGUUAUGAGGUGUCCAGGUCACUGGCAGCUUGUCAGGGUGUGCUUUUGGUUGUCGAUGCUGCUCAGGGAGUCCAAGCACAAACUGUUGCUAACUUUUACCUUGCCUUUGAGUCUAACCUAACAAUUGUUCCUGUCAUAAACAAGAUUGACCAGCCAACUGCUGAUCCUGAUCGCGUUAAAGCCCAAUUGAAAUCAAUGUUUGAUCUUGACCCAAGUGAUGUGCUGCUAACAUCUGCUAAAACUGGAGAGGGUCUUCAGCAAAUCCUUCCAGCAGUCAUAGAGCGCAUACCUGCCCCUCCUGGGAGGAGUGAUUCUCCUUUACGCAUGCUUUUGCUUGAUUCAUAUUACGAUGAAUACAAAGGGGUAAUAUGUCAUGUUGCUGUUGUUGAUGGUGUCCUGCGCAAGGGGGAUAAGAUUUCUUCUGCAGCUACUGGUCAGUCAUAUGAAGCUUCAGAUAUAGGCAUCAUGCAUCCUGAACUUACACCUACUGGAAUCUUGCUUACUGGACAAGUUGGUUAUGUUGUAAGUGGCAUGCGUUCAACUAAAGAGGCACGUGUUGGUGAUACAAUUUAUCAUACUCGAAGUACUGUAGAGCCUCUUCCAGGCUUCAAGCCAGCAAAACAUAUGGUGUUCUCUGGCCUUUAUCCAGCUGAUGGAUCUGAUUUUGAAGCUCUAAAUCAUGCAAUAGAGAGGCUGACAUGCAAUGAUGCCAGUGUCUCUAUUGCUAAAGAAACUAGCACUGCUCUAGGUCUGGGGUUCAGGUGUGGGUUUUUAGGCCUUCUGCACAUGGAUGUUUUUCAUCAACGGCUUGAACAGGAGUAUGGAGCUCAUGUUAUAUCAACUGUUCCUACUGUGCCUUAUAUAUUUGAGUUUCAUGAUGGAAGCAAGUUAGAAGUUCAGAAUCCCGCUUCAUUACCCUCUAAUCCUAAGCAUAAAGUGACAGCCUGUUGGGAACCUACAGUAUUAGCUACUAUAAUCAUUCCUAGUGAGUAUGUGGGACCUGUUAUUACCCUUGUCUCUGAGCGUAGGGGUCAGCAGUUGGAGUACUCAUUCAUCGACAGUCAACGGGUAUUCAUGAAGUACCGCCUGCCUUUGAGAGAAAUUGUUGUUGACUUUUAUAAUGAAUUGAAGAGCAUAACAUCAGGCUAUGCAUCAUUUGAUUAUGAGGACUCAGAUUAUCAACAAGCUGAUAUGGUGAAACUGGAUAUUCUCUUGAAUGGACAACCUGUUGAUGCAAUGGCUACCAUAGUUCAUAGCGCAAAAGCAUAUCGUGUUGGGCGUGAACUGACAGAGAAAUUGAAGGGCGUCUUAGACAGGCAAAUGUUCGAGGUAAACAUACAAGCCGCCAUUGGGUCAAAAAUCAUAGCAAGAGAGACGAUUUCCGCUAUGAGGAAAAAUGUUCUUGCCAAGUGUUAUGGUGGUGAUAUUACUCGAAAAAGGAAGCUAUUGGAGAAGCAAAAGGAAGGAAAGAAGCGAAUGAAACGUGUUGGUUCUGUUGAUAUACCACAAGAAGCAUUUCACGAACUAUUAAAGGUUUCUUAGCUGACAUGUUUGAAGAUAUUUGUGGAUUACACAAUGGUUUUUAAACAUAAGUUAGAUUCAAAUCCAGGGGAUGAUUCUUUGUGUGACAUUAUGACAUUCACUAUUGGAUGAGGAAACGAUGAUACAUAGGAAGCUAUAUCAAGAGUUUUUAUGGUUUACUCAUCGAUAAUAACAAGCAUUAGUAUUUGGUUUAAGUGAACUGCAACAAAAUUCAAGUAUCAAGGUAUAAAGUGGGCCAAAAAAGUACCUAAAAGAGGCUAAUAGAAGACAUCGUCAAGUUAGGCUAUGGCCACGUUUUUUAACCCAAAAAAGACAUGGCUAAGUUUCCUAGAGUCCCAUUGCAUACUUGUGGAUUUAAGAAAAAGGUUCCCACAUAAUGGGAGCAUAUGAGAUGGAAGGGUCAAACUCGGGCAUGAUGGGGGGUAUAUAUGAAAUGGAGGGUCUCACACAUAAGUGAAUAUUGAUGGGAACAUCAAGUGAGUAAGAAGUCCUAGAUUGGAUGUAAAUGGGUAGGUUAAGCAACAUGUUGUACUAAGUAGUAAGCAAUAAGCAUCCAUACACAUACUUACUUUAAGGUUUUGAGUUGGAUCUAAUGUCUAGUCCACUAGUGUGAUUUUCAUGGCUCAUUAUUCCAAACGACCCAACAAUAUGUAUGCAUAAUUUUCCUUUUUCCUUUUCUUUGUUUUUUUGCUAGAGAUUUCAUUGGUAGCUAAUAUAGUUGCUGCACUCAAAAACUGGUUAAUGUGCCUGAAAACAAAGGCAACCUAUUGAGAUUAGAUGUUUUGGAAACGACGCCAGCCAUAUGUUCUAUUCAAAGUGCUUUAGAAUGAGGCUGGGAAGAAUAAAGCCGGUGCCGGUUGAUUAAUGCUUGCCAUGGACUCCUAUACACCUUGAAUGCUUUGUCGAGGUCUUGUGUGGAUCUGCACCUGUUACAGUCCUGCUGCAGCAUAUAUUAAUCAAAUAAACCUUACAAACAUUUUGUAGCAGUAAUUUUCAACUGUAGCUGUAGCCAUGUUCUUGAUACGGUACAAUAAUCUUGUCUUUUUGAUGUUUUUUUAUUUAUUUAUUUAAAUUUGAGAAGGUAUAUAGUUUGAAGGGAAUGAUCCUCUCCAGUGACAUUAUCACGGGAUGAGAGAUCUUAUCCCUUCACUAAAUUUUAUUAAUAUAAUACAUUUGUAUUAUAAAAUGAAGGUUUAAAAGAAUUAAUGAUGACAUUUAACACUUGAGAAUCUCAAA